UACGUAGGGUGCGAGCGUUAAUCGGAAUUACUGGGCGUAAAGAGCGCGCAGGCGGUCGUCCAAGUCGAGUGUGAAAGCCCCCGGCUCAACUGGGGAGGGUCACGCGAUACUGGUCGACUCGAAGGCAGGAGAGGGUAGUGGAAUUCCCGGUGUAGUGGUGAAAUGCGUAGAUAUCUGGAGGAACACCGGUGGCGAAGGCGGCAUCCUGGACCGGCAUUGACGCUGAACAGCGAAAGCCAGGGGAGCAAACGGG
rnacentral:rRNA from 1 species